rnacentral:sRNA from 1 species
UUGUGUGUGAGGAGCGAACCAGCAAGGGCAUCGAGACGAAACACGGCCAGUCGUCGGUGCCCUUUCUG